AGAAUUGAGGGGUCGAGGGUGAAAUAACUUGAAAGGUCGAGAUAAUAUUAGUUCAGUCUGGAGCUGAAUACGUCGUUAGAAGCGCCUGCAGCAACCCAUAAUAUGCCUUACAAGGUAGAAACGUUCAUUAAGAAUGUUGCGACAACUGUUGGUGAGGGACCACACUGGGAUCCAGAAACCCAGACACUCCUGUAUGUCGAUCUGCAGGCAGGAAACCUUCACCGAUAUAAUACCUUAACGAAGAUAGAUGACAUGCGACACUAUGAUGUUCCCACAACUUUAAUAGUGCCACGGAAGAGUGGUGGGUACGUUAUUGGCGAUGGUUUAAAUUUAUCCCAUUUGGAUUGGGAGAGUGGGAUCCGUACAGUACUGGCUAGUGUGGAUCAAGGAACGAGAAAUAGGUUUAAUGAUGGGAAAUGUGAUGCAUCCGGUCGUUUGUGGGCAGGUACAAUGGGAUACAUGGAGAAGCCUGUCUUUCCGGAAAUGGAAGUCGCCUCGCUUUACACCCUAGAAAAAGAUUUGAAGGUGAAACGUCAUCUAGAUAAGAUCACGAUAUCAAAUGGUUUAGCUUGGACGCACAAUAAUACAAAGAUGUUUUAUGUUGAUACCAUGCCACGAGAAAUCUGGAGUUUUGAUUUCGAUCUUGAAACUGGCAACAUGACAAACAAACAAGUUUUGGUAAAAUACCCAGAAGACACCAUUAAGACUUUGGGUUACCCAGAUGGAAUGACCUCGGAUGUAGACGACAAAAUAUGGUGUGCAUUUUAUGAUGGAAGCUGCAUAAUACGUUAUGACCCAGAAACUGGCCAAGAGAUUUCCAGAAUCAAUUUUCCCACAAGCCAAAUCACUUCCUGUUGUUGGGGUGGCAAGAACUUUGAUGAGCUAUACGUCACAUCCGGUCAUGUGAAUAUUACUGAUGAUCAGGCCGGGUCAGUAUUUAGAGUUACCGAUCUUGGUACUAAAGGACGACCUGCUGACGUGUUCUUGGGUUAACGGAUUUGAAUACAACAAUGGGUUAAUUGAAUUCGGUGUAUUUAUCAAUUUACAUAUUUAAAUGAGUAUUCUUCGAUUUAUUUUAAUUUUUUUAUUUACAUAUUUUAGAUGUGGGAUAUAUUUUUUUAUAU